UGAUUUGCCUAAACCUAAGUUCAAAUUAUAUUUUUGCCGAUCCCUAACUCUCCCCUCCCGAUUCCUCACCCUCUCCCUCUCGUGCACCAACCCUCGCUUCUUCUCCACCGCAACCACUUCCCCACCUCUGCCCGUCGUCUCCCCACCGAGGAGAUCACGAUCGCGUCGACGCCGUCUGACUCACCGCUGGUUAGGAUUCCCAUUACCUCCAGUACUCCUUGCCGCGGCUUUGCCUUUACUCUCUCUUGUAUGAUUUUCGCCGCGUCAGCUGGCCGAUGCAUCGCUGUUCCUUCCGAUCUCCUCUCGCCAGAAGCCAAGCACCCAAGUUCUUCAUUUUUCUGUGCCCUAGCCACCCUCUGCCCCUCACGGCGAUGACAUCUCACUGUUUCCUCUUCCUCCGAGCUGCCCUGUGCUGGGCUGUCUUCGGCCAAGAGCAAGGAAUCCCGACAUGCUCUAGUUUUGGAUCCACCGCUGUCGCUGUCUCCGUCCGAGCCCAACUUAGCCAUUUGGUCACCUCUCUUCCGUCCAUAAGAAGAUCCAACCUAUAACACCAUAUGACCCUGCUAAAUUCUGGUCAGUAAGUGUUGUUUUGGGAUACUUGGCAUAGAGGACAGUAGUUUCACAAUCCUUCAGCCAUAAGUUCUCACAGUUAUCGCUUCGGCUGCAAGUCAACAGAAGAGUGUACAAAAUUAGGACGUUGAUUCGAGACGAGCAUCUCAAAGUGGGAUUGUUAGCACGAUCGACAGAUAAAGGCGGGUACCUUUGACUUAUCUUUUGAUAUUGUUAUUCUGAUAUGUUUAGUAGGUUAUAACUAGUAGUAAUAGUUAUGUUUAUAUCUGUUUGGUAUGUCACUACUUGAUACCUAUAGUAUGCUCAUACUUUUACCUGUUAUGCAUUUAUGAUUAUGUCUUUCUGUUUCUUGCAUUGUGUACUUAUAUAGUGAUAUACAGUGCAUUACCAGAUACAGGUCUGGCUACUAGUUUAUACUUGGCAUGUGUACCUUGUUUAUUACUUGGCAUGUGUACCUUGUUUAUUACUUAACAUGUGUACCUAGGUUUACUACUUGGCAUGUGUACCUAGGUUUACUAUUUGACAUGUGUACCUAGAUUAUUGUUAUGGACUUGGGUUCCUUUUUGGUACACAUUAUGAGGAGGUUGGUAUUUUCAGGAUUUACAUGCUUAGUGUCAUGCACCAUCUUGCAUGAUUGCACGCUGAGUUAUUGUCAGCUCCAUUAUUAUUGAGCAUAUCGCCAGUUGCAUGAUCUGCACACACACCCACUCAUGGGUUAGUGGUUUAUCAGGCAAGGUGUGUGGCAAUUUUGCUCUGUCAGGCUCCGUUGGCCCACUCAUGGGUAGUGUUGACUGCAGUGUGGUAGCGGGCAGGGAUCCCUCCUCUUGACUAUGACACAGGGAGAUGAGAGCUUUGACUCCCCCACUCUGUUUGGGGUAGGAGGAUAGGUGUACUCCA